UACGUAGGGUGCAAGCGUUGUCCGGAAUUAUUGGGCGUAAAGAGCUCGUAGGCGGCCAACUAAGUCAGACGUGAAAUCCCUCGGCUUAACCGGGGAACGGCGUCUGAUACUGGAUGGCUUGAGUUCGGGAGAGGGAUGCGGAAUUCCAGGUGUAGCGGUGAAAUGCGUAGAUAUCUGGAGGAACACCGGUGGCGAAGGCGGCAUCCUGGACCGACACUGACGCUGAUGAGCGAAAGCCAGGGGAGCAAACGGG
rnacentral:rRNA from 1 species